rnacentral:rRNA from 1 species
ACACGAACCGUACAAACGUUAUUCGGAAUUACUGGGCUUAAAGGGUGCGUAGGCGGCUCAGAAAGUUGGGCGUGAAAGCCCUCGGCUUAACCGAGGAACUGCGCUCAAUACUCCUGGGCUUGAGGGAGACAGAGGUGAGCGGAACUACGGGUGGAGCGGUGAAAUGCGUUGAUAUCCGUAGGAACACCAGUGGCGAAAGCGGCUCACUGGGUCUCUUCUGACGCUGAGGCACGAAAGCUAGGGGAGCGAACGGGAUUAGAUACCCCGGUAGUCCUAGCCGUAAACGAUGAGCACUAGAUCGAAGGGUACUCCAUAGCCUUUUGGUCGUAGCGAAAGUGUUAAGUGCUCCGCCUGGGGAUUAUGGUCGCAAGGCUGAA